rnacentral:lncRNA from 1 species
AUUUGUGUUCUUUGAUUUUCCAGCAUCGUUCGGCAUCAUUCAUCGCCGUCGGCCACCGCAUCAAAGUUCUGUGGCUGCGCCACCAUAGGCUGCAACCCCAGCCACCUUCAUCGGCAAGACUCCCUUAGAGUCGGCAUGGGAGAAGGGGAGUCAAAAUAUCCCCCGUUUCACCGCCCAAAUAUGAGGAAGAAGAAGAAGAAGAAAAA